rnacentral:rRNA from 1 species
AGAGUUUGAUCCUGGCUCAGGAUGAACGCUAGCGGCAGGCCUAACACAUGCAAGUCGAGGGGCAGCGGGAGUAGCAAUACUUGCCGGCGACCGGCGGAAGGGUGCGUAACGCGUGAGCAACAUUCCCGUAUCAGGGGGAUAACCGAUGGAAACGUCGCCUAAUACCCCAUAACAACGGUCAUCGCAUGAUGGCGGUUUGAAAGCUACGGCGGAUACGGAUUGGCUCGCGUGACAUUAGCUGGUUGGCGGGGCAACGGCCCACCAAGGCGACGAUCAUUAGGGGUUCUGAGAGGAAGGUCCCCCACAUUGGUACUGAGACACGGACCAAACUCCUACGGGAGGCAGCAGUGAGGAAUAUUGGUCAAUGGGCGGAAGCCUGAACCAGCCAAGUCGCGUGAGGGAAGACGGCCCUACGGGUUGUAAACCUCUUUUGCGCGGGGGUAAAGUCGGGGACGUGUCCCCGAUUGCAAGUACCGCGCGAAUAAGGAUCGGCUAACUCCGUGCCAGCAGCCGCGGUAAUACGGAGGAUCCGAGUGUUAUCCGGAUUUAUUGGGUUUAAAGGGUGCGUAGGCGGGACGUCAAGUCAGUGGUGAAAUGGUGCGGCUCAACCGUAGCACCGCCGUUGAAACUGGGGUCCUUGAGUGCGAAUGAGGUACGCGGAACGUGUCAUGUAGCGGUGAAAUGCAUAGAUAUGACACAGAACACCGAUUGCGAAGGCAGCGUACUGGGACGCGACUGACGCUGAGGCACGAAAGUGCGGGGAUCGAACAGGAUUAGAUACCCUGGUAGUCCGCACAGUAAACGAUGAAUGCUAGCUGUGGGCGACACACGGUCUGUGGCCAAGCGAAAGCGAUAAGCAUUCCACCUGGGGAGUACGUUCGCAAGAAUGAAACUCAAAGGAAUUGACGGGGGCCCGCACAAGCGGAGGAACAUGUGGUUUAAUUCGAUGAUACGCGAGGAACCUUACCCGGGCUUGAAAUCGGGACGACGCGGGGGGAGACCCCCGUUCCAGCAAUGGCGUCCCGGUAGGUGCUGCAUGGUUGUCGUCAGCUCGUGCCGUGAGGUGUCGGCUUAAGUGCCAUAACGAGCGCAACCCCCGCCGCCAGUUGCCAUCAUUCGGUUGGGCACUCUGGCGGGACUGCCACCGCAAGGUGCGAGGAGGGUGGGGAUGACGUCAAAUCAGCACGGCCCUUACGUCCGGGGCGACACACGUGUUACAAUGGGGGGGACAGAGGGAGGCCAGGCGGCGACGCCGAGCGGAUCCCGAAACCCCCUCUCAGUUCGGAUCGGAGUCUGCAACCCGACUCCGUGAAGCUGGAUUCGCUAAUAAUCGCGCAUCAGCCAUGGCGCGGUGAAUACGUUCCCGGGCCUUGCACUCACCGCCCGUCA